UCUCUUCGGAGACUCUAGAGUGGCGCACGGGUGGGUAACGCGUAGAUAAUCUACCUCCUGAUCUGGAACAACCCUUCGAAAGGAGGGCUAAUGCCGGAUAAUACACUGGCUCUGGUGAGCUGAUGUUGAAAGAUUUAUCGUCAGGAGAUGAGUCUGCGUACCAUUAGCUUGUUGGUGGGGUAACGGCCUACCAAGGCGACGAUGGUUAGCGGGUCUGAGAGGAUGAUCCGCCACACUGGAACUGAGACACGGUCCAGACUCC
rnacentral:rRNA from 1 species